GGAGCAGUGGCCGAGCGGCUGAAGGCGACGGUCUUGAAAACCGUUGUACCGAAAGGUACCGGGGGUUCGAAUCCCUCCUGCUCCG
rnacentral:tRNA from 3 species